rnacentral:lncRNA from 1 species
CCCCAGACCAGGGGCCGGCCGGAGAGAGGGCUCUUUCCUGAGAGGCUGGACUUUCCCACAGGAACAAAGUGGGGCUUGUUAGCCGGGCAUGAAUCUUGGCGUGAAGCGGCCCAGGCCAGGCUCGGCGCUGCCAGGCGGCGGCUCCGCGAUAUCAGGCAAAUUCCGCCUUCCCCACAGCUGGGGCUGACAGCAGGAAGCCCCAGGGAGGCUCCGGACAAAAGCAGAAAAAUGGGCCACGUUUAUUCAUUCACUGACCAGCCCGGGCCUGGCUGGCCCGGGGGCCCUGUCUCCAUGGCUACGGGCGGCCUUCAGCUCUCCUGGUUGGCUCCUCUGUGACCACAGCCCCUCCACUGCCACACACCCCAACACAUAGAGACACAGCAUCAUGAAGGCAGAGGCUGCCUCGGGACGGCUCUGCCCCAGGGAGCGUGGGGCCAUCUGAGCCAAACAGAAUAGAGGGCUUGGACACAGCCCCGGAUGUGAGUUGAGCUCUGAAUGUCAAGACCAGUCCUGGGUGAGGAAACUGAAGCUCUGAGAGCAGUAGCUCCCCUGAGCCGUGCAGCUGGAGAGGGCUGCGCCAACAGCAGAGCUGGGGCUCUUUGCAGUCCCAUUUUCCACUGCUUUGGUCAGGGAGUGAGUCCCCUGAUGUCAUCCGAGGAUAUGAGGCAUCGCUAAAUCUGGCCAUCCCCUGAAGCACCCAGCCUCACCGACUUCCUGAAGCGUGGAUGAACGCUGCUGCCACAAAUGUGCUGUGACAACCGCUGACAAGGAGAAUGGUUCCAAGAAGUGACAAGUUGAAGGUCAUGAUCCUUUUGCUGACACAGAGCCUGGCACAUGGAGGCACCAAAUGCAUGUUAGUCUAGGCACUGUGGAGGAGCUCAGAUUGUGUUUGUUGAUUGACUGAGUGAGCAAAUGAAGAACGACUAAACCAAGCACAAAGCUGGGCGUCCUAAGGUGGAGCUGGGCUAAGGAAAGUGACUGUCUCUAGGGCCUUCACAAUUGAGGCAGGACCUUAUCCACCAUUUGACCAGGGUGAGGAACUGUGCAGGGCACCCAGGUGUGACCCAACCAUGUCCAUUGUUCCUCUCUGUCCCUUUGAUGGACAGCCUGUACCCACGACACUCUUUCCAGAUGCUGCCUGCAUCCUAGUUCCCUGUCCUAUCACCUCUGCAUGGAAAGAUGUGGAGUUGGCCACAUUGAUCCCAACACCAAUGGGAUCACCUGAGGAUGGAUCUGGUGACUGACCUUGUGCCUUCUCACAGUACAGGCUUUGGGAUCCACAGCAACCCAGGCAGAGUUUGUAACAGUGCAGGUUCCCAGGCCCCAUCCCAGACUGCCUGAGUCACUCUGGGCCUGAACCCAGGAAGAGUUAACCAUCUGGAGACUGUAGAUUGUAACAAUUUCCUUGGGUGACUUCCAGGCAGGCUAAAGUGUAAGAAAGGGUGCCAUGAAUCAGCAAAACAGCCAGCACUUCAACUUGCAACCUGAGCAUCCCACAGGGGUCCCAGCCAUCGUAGUGCCAGCUACAUUUGCUGAAGUGUGAGGCCUGGACUGCAGGCAGGCUCCAGGCCAACCCUUCCUUGCAUGACUUGCUCAGGGAUCUGUAUGACAUGCUGGUGCCAUUCUCUCCAUUUUACAGAUGAGGGACCAGAGGCCCAGAGCACUGAAGUACCUAGCUAAAAAGCUGGAACACCAUAUUACCCUGCCUCCCUGACAGCUUUCCUCCAUCCAAGUGGCCCAACUGUGGUUCAGAAAAUACAGCCUCAUUAAAGACAGGUGCUUGAAACCAUGGCCUGGAAGUGGUAAUCUGGUUGAGCUCACUUUGCUGGAUGGUGAAAGAGCCCAGCCUGCCCUGCCCUGCCCUUCCUUCUUUUUCCCUCUCCUCUCUUCUCCUCUCCUCUCCUCUCCUCUCCUCUCCUCUCCUCUCCCCUCCCCUCUCCCCUCCCCUCCUUUCUUUUCUUCUUUUUCCCUUCCUCUCGUCUCCCCCUCCCCUCCCCUCCCCUCCUGUCCCAUUCCCUUCCCUUCCUUUCCCUCCCCUCCCCUCUUCUCCCCUCCUUUCUUUCCUUCCUUCCUUCCUCCCUCCCUCUCUCUCUCUUUCCUAUUUUCUUUCUCUCGUUCUUUCCCGAGUCAUUGAUUCAACAGAACAGCCCACUGUGGUUAUUGGAAUGCACUGGGAGAGACACAAUGUGCUUCCAGCUCCAAAGGAAAGAUGAGAAGAAUCAGAGAACACAGAGGCCAGAAAGGCCUGGCGAGGAGCUCAAACAGGGACCUAUCAGGGCUGGUGUCCGGUGUGAGGGGGUUUGAGCCUCUGAGAGGUCCAGACAAAGCCAUCUUGCGCCUAGGCGCUUGUCUGUAAACGCGGGAUCUUUGCUUAGUGGCUAAGAAUGUGCCUGCUGGGCUGAGUCUAAGACCUGGAGAUGCACCCAGAAAUCAGUGUCUGGUUGCCCUGAAACAUGUGUUGAGAAGGAGAGCCUCAGGGUGGCACUGAUGUUUGGCGGAUAGGUUCAGAG